rnacentral:lncRNA from 1 species
CGGGGAGGGGCCGGCGGCGGGGCCCAUGGGGACCCGUUAGCAGCGGGGAGCGGCCUCCCGGUGCCCGCCGCCUUCCCCGGUACAGGGGCAGCGCUGGCUGCCGCCGGGACGGAGCGGCAGCGGGAGGGCGGGGGGUGCCGGGGCCUCCCUUGUGAUUUUUUUUUUUUAAUUGUAUUUUUUAUUUUUGUUCCUCCUUUCUUCUCUCUCUCCUGGCCCUUCCCGGACUGCGAGAGAUUAUUUUAUGCCUACCUCAUCUUCUUGGAAAGAGGAAGACAAAUGGAACUACGUGAUUCUGUAAACGCCUAGAGAUCAUUCUGGUGUUGUAGGAUUCCAUUUGAAGAACGAUUUUUGAAUAGUAAUCUGUGUUUUUUCCAAGAGUGUCCCUCAGAUUUUCAGAAUUAAUGGAAGACUUUAUAUAAUGGUGCAAGAAGUAUUUGUGAAACAAAAAAUUAAGGUUGAAGAAUGGCUCCCUCUCUUCUAAAAACACAUCUGAAUAGACUUGUCCCAGCGCCUUAGCUGAUACACUGCCAAAAUAAUUGGUCUAUUUAUGUUAACUCUCCAUUAAAUUCUUUAAGAAAUUUUCAGUAAAAUUCCUUGAAAUUUGCAAUGGUUUGUGAUUCAAUAAAUUGUCAUUUAAUUGAACAUUCUAUUUUUAUUUUGUGAAAUCUUGUAUGGUCUUUUAUUAUGCAUUCAGUGAUGGCAGUAUUUUUAUCUUCAAAGACUGUAUUUAUAUUUCUGGACAAACUUUAAACUGUAUUUUAAGUGCUUUCCUAUUUAAGGGGUACAUGCCUUUUUAACUUUGAGAAUUGUCACAGGAACACAGUGAUACAGAAUUGUAGGGGUUCUCUGAAGGGCCCUCUGAAGAUCAGCUACUCCAACCCCCCUGUUGACACAGGUUCUCUGGAGUAGAUUGCACAGGAAAGCGUCCAGGUGGGUUUUGAAUUUCUCCAGAGAAGCAGACCUCACAUCUCUCUUGGGCAGCCUGUUUCAGAGUUCU